GACGAACGCUAGCUACAGGCUUAACACAUGCAAGUCGAGGGGAAACGACAUCGAAAGCUUGCUUUUGAUGGGCGUCGACCGGCGCACGGGUGAGUAACGCGUAUCCAACCUGCCCACCACUUGGGGAUAACCUUGCGAAAGUAAGACUAAUACCCAAUGAUAUCUCUAGAAGACAUCUGAAGGAGAUUAAAGAUUUAUCGGUGAUGGAUGGGGAUGCGUCUGAUUAGCUUGUUGGCGGGGUAACGGCCCACCAAGGCGACGAUCAGUAGGGGUUCUGAGAGGAAGGUCCCCACAUUGGAACUGAGACACGGUCCAAACUCCUACGGGAGGCAGCAGUGAGGAAUAUUGGUCAAUGGGCGAGAGCCUGAACCAGCCAAGUAGCGUGCAGGAUGACGGCCCUAUGGGUUGUAAACUGCUUUUAUAAGGGAAUAAAGUGAGCCUCGUGAGGCUUUUUGCAUGUACCUUAUGAAUAAGGACCGGCUAGUUCCGUGCCAGCCGCCGCGGUAA
rnacentral:rRNA from 1 species